UUCCAGGUUCCCCCAUACGGCUCCCGCUGAGCCCUCAGUGUUUUCCUGACAUGAUCAGGCCCCACUGUGGGCGGCGCUGCUUGCCUGGAGCCUGAGAGGACUGUGAACCGUGUGGGGCGGAGUGGAGGGAGGGGACCGGGUG
rnacentral:snoRNA from 1 species